rnacentral:rRNA from 1 species
GACAGAGGUGGCGAGCGUUGCUCGGAUUUACUGGGCUUAAAGGGCGCGUAGGUGGCCUUGUAAGUCAAAGGUGGAAUUCCACAGCUCAACUGUGGAACUGCCUUUGAUACUGCAAGGCUUGAGUCAGGUAGAGGAGGGCGGAAUUCCCGGUGUAGCGGUGAAAUGCGUAGAUAUCGGGAGGAAGGCCGGUGGCGAAGGCGGCCCUCUGGGCCUGUACUGACACUGAGGCGCGAAAGCGUGGGUAGCAAACAGG